rnacentral:tRNA from 1 species
CCCCGUGUGGCUCAGUUGGUAGAGCAUGGUGUUUGCAUCACCAGGGUGGUGGGUUCGAUUCCCAUGGGGG